AGUGAAUGCUGGCGGUAGGCCUAACACAUGCAAGUCGAACGGCAGCACAGUAAGAGCUUGCUCUUACGGGUGGCGAGUGGCGGACGGGUGAGGAAUACAUCGGAAUCUACUUUUUCGUGGGGGAUAACGUAGGGAAACUUACGCUAAUACCGCAUACGACCUACGGGUGAAAGCAGGGGAUCUUCGGACCUUGCGCGAUUGAAUGAGCCGAUGUCGGAUUAGCUAGUUGGCGGGGUAAAGGCCCACCAAGGCGACGAUCCGUAGCUGGUCUGAGAGGAUGAUCAGCCACACUGGAACUGAGACACGGUCCAGACUCCUACGGGAGGCAGCAGUGGGGAAGAUUGGACAAUGGGCGCAAGCCUGAUCCAGCCAUACCGCGUGGGUGAAGAAGGCCUUCGGGUUGUAAAGCCCUUUUGUUGGGAAAGAAAAGCAGCAGGUUAAUACCCCGCUGUUCUGACGGUACCCAAAGAAUAAGCACCGGCUAACUUCGUG
rnacentral:rRNA from 1 species